rnacentral:rRNA from 1 species
GCAAGUCGAACGGUAACAGGCUAGAAGAUCUCUUCGGAGUGAUUUUGGUGCUGACGAGUGGCGGACGGGUGAGUAAUGCAUAGGAAUCUGCCCAGUAGUGGGGGAUAACGUGGAGAAAUCCACGCUAAUACCGCAUAUGUCCUACGGGACAAAGCAGGGGACCUUCGGGCCUUGCGCUAUUGGAUGAGCCUAUGUCGGAUUAGCUUGUUGGUAGGGUAAUGGCCUACCAAGGCAACGAUCCGUAGCUGGUCUGAGAGGAUGACC